rnacentral:rRNA from 2 species
GCAGCGAUGCGUUGAGCUAACCGGUACUAAUGAACCGUGAGGCUUAACCUUAC